GAGUUUCAUACUAUUUAGAUUGGAUAUACCAACAUAUCAGUGCAGCAUGUGUAGAAAAAUAAUUUUUUAUUAAUCUUAUAAAUUCUGGCCAUUCCAAUGUAGCUGUGUGUCUCAAGAUUUAAGAAAAUAUAUUUUCAUUGUACACUUCAUGUAUUUCUAAGAAUAUAUCGAUACAAAUAUAAAGAAGAGUAGAAAUC
rnacentral:lncRNA from 1 species